AUGACAGGACAGCUUGUUUUUUUAAUGACUUAUCAUGUGAACAAACUUAUUCACGUGUGAUUUUAAUCGCAUUUCUUAUUCAAUAUAAACACCGCAAGUGUAAAAUUCUCUCCUUUUUUUUUUUACAUUUUCCAAAUAUCAAGAAUGUUUUGUACACAUUUGUAAUGGAAACCCAGUGAGUGACCACAGAAAUUAAAGAGUAUUGGGUUUAUUCCAGGCAUUAAUGAACUAGGAAGAGAUGUAAAAUGGACAACAUUAGUAUUCUUGUUAACAACAUUAAAAUGAUAUACUGGAAAUGGAUUAACUAGUCAUUCAGCUAACAUUGUCGACAUGCAGCAGCUUUACUCAACUUACACGGCUGAAAACAGUGCCGGGGACAGACGGUACAUAAACAGGAAGUGCGGGGAAUAUGUCCCACAAAUAUCCCACAUUAACUGUAUUCACCGUAUAAGCAAAUCUUAUACUGCGAGAACAUCUCAAAACAGUUUUUGCAACAAAAAAAGAGGCAAAUGUUAUCACUUAGUGUCACACAUGCUUCAUCUUGCAGGCUUAGCUUCCAAGAAAUUAGAAGAGAGCAAAGUUGCAGUGAUUGGUGAGAAAAUGUUAGAGUAAUUGGUCUGAUUUGAGGAAAAGUUGCGAUGAUAGGUGAAACUUGCAAGUCUGCACGAAAUUUGCAAAUGAUGAGCUAAGGUAUUUCUGCAUGGGGUUUGAGUGUUCUCCUUGUGAAUGCUGGUUUCUCACCAGGUACUCCAACUUCCAGUCUAAAACCUUAAUUGGUCUCUCUAAAUGAGCCUUCGGUAUGAUUGUCUGUAAUGGCCUAGCAAUCUGUCCAGGGGGCAUCUUGCCUCUUGCCCAAUGGCCACUGGAGACUGGCAUCACCCCCCACGAUGAAUAGUUCAAUUUUUUCCUCCUUUCUUUUUAAAAAGCUGUUCACAAUAUGCUCCAGCACCCAUGAAUCGUUAGACACAACUAGUGACUGUGAAUUUGUAUGCUGGUGGCUGAGCCGCUGCCACCUUCAGAGGUUAGAGGCUAUUACAGUGUCCAACAGAAACACCGGCGCGAGCGGAGGUCUGCUCUCCCCCUCAGGGGAAUCAGGAUUGAUGAUGUUCAUUUGAGAUCACAUCCGAAACCAAGUGAUGAAUGUAUUGAUGUUAUUCUGGCAGCCAGAACUCUUUGUGUGUGUGUGUGAGGAGUAAAACAGAAACAGAUCACUCAUCUAUUUUUUUUUUCCUGCAGGAUGUGACUGGUUAUAAUUUAAUGGCCUGCUUUCAAGGGGCUCAACAGUGCCUGUUUAGGAGUGAUCCAGGCUGGCAUUAUAACCUAUAUACUCGUGAACCUGCACCACCUCCCACAGCCCAACAAACCACAUCAACUACUAUCAUCCUGCACAGGCCAAACCGGUUUUUCAUGGUUUUGUUAGACAAAAAAAAAAAUUCUAGAAAAUCCUGUUUGGUCGCAAACCUCUUUGGGAAACACUAUAAUCCUUUUCACCUUUAUUUGCAAAGAAGAAACACACUGAGCCAUUAAGCUCACGAAACUGAACAGCGGCGAGAACUUUCCACGCAGGAACGGAAAAACACCAAAACAUGUAGUCUUUCCCAAAUAGAGACCCUUUAAUACUUCACGGCUUACUUAAACUGCAAAACAGAGCAGUGAAGCAGAGACUAAAUGAAAGUAGUGCCACUGUACCUGCAUGGAGCAUGGUAAAAGGGGUAUCCAGGAUGAGUGCCGGCGGUGGAAUCCGACUCAGGCGGCUCGGAGGCACGUAAGUUGGCGCCGCUUGUUGCGCGUCUCGAGUGGCUCCAUGGGAAGAGAGUGAGAGGGUUGGAACGGCUGACGCGAUGGAGCAAGAGAGUGAUCCAAGGGACGAGAUGACGUACGGUGAGUCAGGUCUGAACACCUGGAAACGGCUCGUCUUGCUCAGUAGAGUAAGGUGGAGUGUGAAAUCACAGGUUACUCCCCUUGCCCUGCCUCAAGCCAGUUAUUUUCCCCUUCUUUUCAGGUUCAGUCAGGAUAGCAGACGCCUCUCGGACCAUGCAAUGAAGCAUGUGUCAUCGCCAUUCGUCUCAGUGAUUCAAAACAAACCACCAGGUGUUUUCAGUCUCACAGGUGUAGCUCUCCGUCCGACAGGCUUCAAGGCAAAUCAGAGUUGGCUUAAUAGUCUCUGACACCAAUUAGAAGCGGUUCACGCCAGAGGUAUUACCUCUCUAAACUUCCCAGGUGUCGCCGUACGUCUCUCGCAGAUACGAGUGGGUAAAAAUCCAGCGCCACAGCGUCCCUCCGCUCUUCCCUCUGAGACAGCUGCCUGCUGUCACGAGUGUUUAUUCUCCAAAUUACAGGAUCCUCGCUGGCUCUCCAGCCUCCUGAAGCAGCAGCGGCGCACGUAACUGAUCCACUGAGCACCACAACAGAAAGGAAGAGAGAAGGAGAGAAAGGCAGGAUAUGGCAGCGGGAGAGUGAAUCUACCAAGAGAGAGAGAGAAAGAAAGAGAGGAAGAGGUUCCCGGAGUGGAGCUGCCUUCUCCUUCCCGCGAAAUACUCAUUUAGCAGGAUACACACCGCAGGGAGGAGGAGAAAGCGUGUGUGUGUGUGUGUUUGUGUAUGUGUGUGAGAAUGUAAUGCUAUGUAAAUGAUGAAUAAUUAAAGACCUAAUUAAACACA